CCUACGGGAGGCAGCAGUGGGGAAUAUUGCACAAUGGGGGAAACCCUGAUGCAGCGACGCCGCGUGAGUGAUGAAGUAUUUCGGUAUGUAAAGCUCUGUCAGCAGGGAAGAAAAUAACGGUACCUGACCAAGAAGCUCCGGCUAACUACUUGCCAGCAGCCGCGGUAAUACGUAGGGGGCACGCGUUCUCCGGAUUUACUGGGUGUAAAGUUAGCGUAGACGGCAGGGCAAGUCUGGAGUGAAAGGCGGGGGCUCAACCCCCGGACUGCUCUGGAAACUGGCAGGCUGGAGUGCAGGAGAGGUAAGUGGAAUUCCAUGUGUAGCGGUGAAAUGCGUAGAGAUUAGGAGGAACACCAGUGGCGAAGGCGGCUUACUGGACUGUAACUGACGUUGAGGCUCGAAAGCGUGGGGAGCAAACAGGAUUAGAUACCCUUGUAGUC
rnacentral:rRNA from 1 species